rnacentral:rRNA from 1 species
CCAGACUCCUACGGGAGGCAGCAGUGAGGAAUAUUGGUCAAUGGUCGGGAGACUGAACCAGCCAAGUCGCGUGAGGGAUGACGGCCCUACGGGUUGUAAACCUCUUUUGCCGGGGAGCAAAAAGCGGUACGUGUACCGCAUCGAGAGUACCCGGAGAAAAAGCAUCGGCUAACUCCGUGCCAGCAGCCGCGGUAAUACGGAGGAUGCGAGCGUUAUCCGGAUUUAUUGGGUUUAAAGGGUGCGUAGGCGGACGCUUAAGUCAGCGGUAAAAUUGCGGGGCUCAACCUCGUCGAGCCGUUGAAACUGGGUGCCUUGAGUGGGCGAGAAGUACGCGGAAUGCGUGGUGUAGCGGUGAAAUGCAUAGAUAUCACGCAGAACUCCGAUUGCGAAGGCAGCGUACCGGCGCCCAACUGACGCUGAAGCACGAAGGCGUGGGUAUCGAACAGGAUUAGAUACCCUCGUACG